GAUGAACGCUGGCGGCGUGCCUAAUACAUGCAAGUCGAGCGAACGGACGAGAAGCUUGCUUCUCUGAUGUUAGCGGCGGACGGGUGAGUAAAACGUGGAUAACCUACCUAUAAGACUGGGAUAACUUCGGGAAACCGUAGCUAAUACCGGAUACAAUUUUAACCGUCUUGUUUAAAAAUUAAAGGCGGUUUUAGCGAUCCGUAUAAGAUGCAUCGGCGCUGCAUUAGCUAGUUGGUAAGGUAACGGCUUACCAAGGCAACGAUGCACAGCCGACCUGGGAGGGUGAUCGGCCACACUGGAACUGAGACACGGUCCAUACUCCUACUGGAGGCAGCAGUAGGGAAUCCUCCGCAAUGGGCGAAAGCCUGACGGAGCAACGCCGCGUGAGUGAUGAAGGUCUUCGGAUCGUAAAACUCUGUUAUUAGGGAAGAACAUAUGUGUAAGUAACUGUGCACGUCUUGACGGUACCUAAUCAGAAAGCCACGGCUAACUACGUG
rnacentral:rRNA from 1 species